GACAGGGGGCACCUGNAUCCAUUAAUGCCGCGUGAGUGAAGAAGGCCUUCGGGUUGUAAAGCUCUUUUGUCAGGGAAGAAACACCGGCUCUAACACAGUCCGGGAAUGACGGUACCUGAAGAAUAAGCACCGGCUAACUACGUGCCAGCAGCCGCGGUAAUACGUAGGGUGCGAGCGUUAAUCGGAAUUACUGGGCGUAAAGCGUGCGCAGGCGGUUAUACAAGACAGGCGUGAAAUCCCCGGGCUUAACCUGGGAAUGGCGCCUGUGACUGUAUAGCUAGAGUGUGUCAGAGGGGGGUAGAAUUCCACGUGUAGCAGUGAAAUGCGUAGAUAUGUGGAGGAAUACCAAUGGCGAAGGCAGCCCCCUGGGAUAACACUGACGCUCAUGCACGAAAGCGUGGGGAGCAAACAGGAUUAGAUACCCUGGUAGUCCACGCCCUAAACGAUGCUGACUAGUUGUUCGGGAUUUACAUCCUGAGUAACGUAGCUAACGCGUGAAGUCAGCCGCCUGGGGAGUACGGUCGCAAGAUUAAAACUCAAAGGAAUUGACGGGGACCCGCACAAGCGGUGGAUGAUGUGGAUUAAUUCGAUGCAACGCGAAAAACCUUACCUACCCUUGACAUGUCACUAACGAAGUAGAGAUACAUUAGGUGCUCGUAAGAGAAA
rnacentral:rRNA from 1 species